rnacentral:tRNA from 1 species
AGUAAAUUAGUUAAUAAUAAUAUUAAUUUGUCAAGUUAAAGUUAUGAGAAUUCCUCAAUUGAUAC